GUCUAUGGCCAUACCACCCUGAACGCACCUGAUCUUGUCUGAUCUCCGAAUCUAAAGCAGGGUCAGGCCUGGUUAGUACUUGGAUGGGAGAGAAACUGAUUCUCAUAGAUA
ensembl:rRNA 5S_rRNA 5S ribosomal RNA